AAAGGGAGACCUAAUUCGGGUAGGAGACGAAAAAAAAGUAGUCCCUACCAAGAAUCAAUCCCAAAAGGUCGGAGCGAGGCGAAAUUGGCUUUCAAACUAGGUUCUGGGUUCACACAAGACCUGAAUCAGGAACAAGGGCUAUUAGCUCAGGUGGUUAGAGCGCACCCCUGAUAAGGGUGAGGUCCCUGGUUCGAGUCCAGGAUGGCCCACCUGCACAGGUGGCAAAAACAAAGAAAAGAAGCUCCGAAUCAGCACCUUAUCUUACUUAUAUAGUAAGAGAGAAUGCUGGCUCUGAGUACAGAGUCCAGAGGAACCUUGAAAACUGCAUAGAGCUAGGUGAAAAAGCCAAAAAAGAAGACCGCAAG
rnacentral:tRNA from 1 species